GAUGUUCAGCCUCACCAUAAACCCACUGUGAUGGGGACCAUGCAACUAUGGACUGCAAGCUCUGAAACCAUGAACCAAUAUAAAUCUUUCCUCCCUUAAGUUGAUUUUCUCAGCUGUGUUGUCACGGUGACUCCUAAAGAGUUUCUCUAAGGGGAAGCAAAGAAAUAGAACGUUGAAGGGAUACUUGCCCUCCACAGAACGGGUGUCUACUAUGGGAGUGAUGAGAACUUAUUUGUAAGCUCAUGGAAAUGAUUCAGCAUCAAAGGAAAAAUUGCUGCAGAGAAGAGCACCAUCAAGUGCAGAUCCAGUUUCCUCCCUGGAGUGACUCAGGGAUCCAACUCCUCAUCCAUGGCUCUGUUGUCCCUCGGGCCCUCCUCAUAGGCACUCUUGGGAUUCCUUCCAUCUGGCCAGCUGAGGAGCAAAGAGAAAGAGUGAGAAGGACCAAGCAUCACACAUUACAGUCCACUUCAGAAGUAGUGUAGGCCAGAACCCCAGUUACAUUGCCCCAGCCAACCUGGGAGGUCAGGAAAUGAAGGGUCCCUGCAUCCAUAACAGGAGAUGGAUCAGUGACUAUCUAGCAAUGUUCACCACAGGGACAAAGGGACUGUUUUCAGCUAAUUGCUGCCUUUUCCCAGUGAAAUCAGAAGCAAAGUCAUUACCUGAAUGUGAGAAGAAUCAAAUCAAGGAAACAAUGAUUUUGGAGAGAUUGAGAAUGGAUUCACUAAGAGGAUUUGGCCCAGCAGCAUUGAUGGUUCACUUGAAAUUGGUCCAAAUUUGAGAGUCAGGCAAGCACUCAUGUCAGGAUGGUUUUGUUAUUGAUUGUCGUUCUUUCCUACAGCCAUAUUCGGCCACUUGGUACAGGAAUAGAGUAAGAGAAAAGAAGAAUUUAACCGAAGUUGGAGUUUUGCCUGGUGAGAAAUUGGGAAAGAGGAGAAAGGGAAUUGGGGGUGUGGAAGGAGUGAUUCCAAUGCUGAAUCAAAGAGGGGAGUCACUGACAGAAGAGUGAGAGGUCUUUUCCCACACAGGGGUAGCACAGUGGGAAAGGACAGCACAGAGUCCCUGCUGUGUCCUUGGGAGACCAGCUCACCAGAAUAGCUAGCUGUAUCCAGUCGCAGGAACACUGAGGAAGUUUUGAGUCCCUACACUUUGCAGGUCUUUCUACAAAACAGCCAUGUUCAGGCAGAAAUCUGGGCUCUCCACCCAAAAGUCUAGCAUGGUCACCCCACUGUCAAUUGGAGAUGUCCCUGGAGGGAGCACGCGGUUUUGUAUUCCAGGAGGUUGGAAAGUUGGCUGCAACAGCUGUGAGAGCCUCUACUCUCCACCAGAGGCGCUGAGACUCUUCCUUCCCCCCCCCACCUCCUCUAUUUCCUCCUUGUACUAGUAAAUAUGAGAGACUUGCUAGAACCAUCUGUUGGCACAACUAAUAUGGCCCUAACGUGACCUUGGUCUGCAUUUAUCAACAUUCUUCACUUGGCUAAGCUGGAGCUCAGCAAGAACUGGGCUGGGUCCUAAAGAAUCUGGCCUUAAAGCUGUAUGCAUAAGGCCCUUGGCUUGAUUCCCUAGUACUAAAGG